rnacentral:tRNA from 1 species
GGGCUGUUGGCUGAGUGGCAGAGCUUUUGCUUUAAAUGCAAAAGUUCCCAGGUUCAGUCUCUGGCUUCUCCA